rnacentral:lncRNA from 1 species
GUUAAUCCUGGCGGGUCCAUGUGCUAACCGGUUUUUUAUUUUAUUUUGAAUUUCCUUUUAUCUCCUCCGCUGACUUUGUCCGUUUCCCUUCCCUAUUUCGAGCAGCGAGAUCUUGGAGGCAGAGAGGGGAGAGCCAUGGCGAUUUUGGCUGGUUAGCUUUGUCGUUGAUCUCUGGAGAGCGAGCCGGUGGUUAGGCGUCCGGUCCUCCUCCCCCCUCCCCCUGUUGCUUCUCCUUCAAGCGCGUUGAGGCAGAGGAGAAGUUGACGCAUGGUGAUUCAGCGGCGGCGUCUUAUCUGCUUCCCUUGAUUUGGUGAUGCUCCUCCUUUUGUUGUGGUGUUCUCCGAGCCUUGUGCGUCCCUUCUUCCCACAACGAGGUUUGCUUGCCAGUAUCCUUUCCCCAUGUCUUCAUUUCGCUGCAAUUUCUGUAGGAUUUUGCUAGAUCUGGCUUAAAGGUGUGCUUGUUCCCGUGUGUAGUGGUGGAUCCUAGCUCUUUUAGGUUGUUUGUGGUGGUUCCUAGAUGUCAGAUUUUUGUUGCAGAUGGAGCAACAUCUAGUAGAUGUAGAUGCAGCAACGCCUGAUUCGAUGUAGUUGUAGGGGUGGUUCCCUUAUGACUAUUUCUUAUUUAUGCUCCUGAAUGUUUCUGUAGUUGUUCAUGUGCCCCUAUAUGUGUAUAACCCCUAGAUGUGUGGAUGUAAAUGUUGAAUCUAGCUCGUAGAUGUUUGCAUUGUAUGUGUGUAUGAUGCCAGUUGUUUUUGUCAGUGAGUUGGGCUGUAACUUUGAGCGAAUUCGGAGUGAUUGGGACUGAAUUUUACCAGUUAAGCGUCAGUGAUUUUGGACUGUAGUUUCAGGUUUUACCAGUCCAUCUUACUCAGUAAUUUUCGAGUGCUUUUGUGUCUGUCUUUGCAACUUCAGUGAUGUGUAAGUUUUAGUGAUCUACUCUGUAAUAUUUGAGUGCUUUUGUCUUUGACUUUGUAACUUCAGUAAUGUGUAAGUUUGAGUGAUCUACUCUAAAUUUUCCACUCGUUUCCAGCACCUAUUACACUCAGUAUCAGUGUAACUACAGUCUGAAUUGUAUUGUGAAUUAACUCUGGACUGCAAGUUCGUAUGUCCCUUUUUAUCCUUUGCUAGCUUUUGUAGAUGUACAUCCCUUCGUUGUUUUGGAUGCAAAUGCUGAGUCACCUGGUCACUUGUCUCAUGUUGAUGUUUUUUGGUGGACAAAUUUCUAGUUUAAUGUGUGAUUCUCGUUGGUGGACUGAAUUUUUUCCAGUUAAGUUAAAGUGGUUAGGGAUUGUAAAUUUGAGUAAUGUGUCCCUUCUAGUGUCAGAUUUAUUCCCCUUUCAUAUGUUGUGUGUGGUGAUUUCCCUCAGCUGUGUUGAAUCUCGUAUGUCGUGUGACCUAGAUUGUCUGGUUGAAUUCGGCUAGUUGUCAUGCGCUUGGACGUGUUGUUUGUUUCAGUUCAUAUCCCUGUCCAUGUCCAUGACCCUAUCCAUGUCUCUGUCGGAUGGGAUGUUGUUUGUUUCAGUUCAGAACCAUUUGCUUUGCUUGUGCGACUUGUUUCCUCGCUAAGCAUCAUCUACCUAGCAAGCAAACUAGUCUACUGUUUCCCCCCUAUUCCUUCUCCAAUCUAAUAUAAUCUGAUGCACAUUGGGAUUGGGAUUGGGUGGUGAUUUCCUUCAGUCUAUCACCUACCUUCUGCUCUACUCUUUCUGUAUUGUUUCUAGCAUAUAUAUAUAUAUAUAUAUAUAUAUAUAUAUAUAUAUAUAUAUAUAUAUAUAUAUAUAUAUAUAUAUGGUGAUGAAUUAGAAGUAUUCGGUAUGUAUUGUCGGCUUUGGUUUGAUCCUCAAGUCUAAUUUGCUACCGUGUAGGGAUUUAUCAGUCGGAUCUGUUGCUUAUCCCCUUUUGGAUGUCGCAUGUGGUAAUCCCGCGCGGCUAUUUUGAUGCAGAUGUGUUGUUGCAUUUGUUAGUGGUAUUGAAUCUCAUCUGUCUUGUGUGCUAGGUUAGGGAUUGUCUUGUAGGUUUUAUUUGACCUGUUUCGGUCAGUAGUUGGAAUUCGAAUGUUUGUCAUGGGCAGUUGCUAAUUUCGUACAUGCUGGAUCGUGUUUCAGUGACUUUAGUGCCCUGGUCGCCUUGGAUUCUCUAGUGUUUUUGUUUGUGGCUGUAGGUUAUAUAACCCCUGGGUCGUUUGUCGAUGUAGGUUUAUAUGUAGUGUUCUUUGUGAUUUUGCUUGUAUAGCUAGUCAACCAGCUUAGGUUGUCGUACCUAGUGCGUUCUGCUAGCAAAUUUCAGCUCUGUUCUUUGUGUUUCUGUGAAACAGAAUGUCCUUUUCAUUUUCAGCUAUGUAAAUGUUUGAUUGCUCUACUUGAAAUCCCUGUUUUCUUAGUGGAUUUGUAGUGUGUUUUCUGAGUGUUUUACACUGUAAUUCUUAGUGGAUUUACAGUGUAAUUCCUUAGCGGAUUUACACUGUAAUUUUAGGUGGAUUUACACUGUAUUUUUUUACUGGAUUUACACUGUAAUUUUCAGUGAAUUUACACUGUAUUUUUAGUGGAUUUAUAUUGUAAUUUGCAAUGGAUCUACACUGUAAUUCUCAGUGGAUUUACUCUGUAGUUUUCAGUUGAUCUUUCGUUGUAAUCAUAUAAGAAUUACACUGUAUCUCUUGAUUUUACAGUGUAAUUCUUAGUUGAGUUACACUGUAAUCCUUAGUGUAUCUUAGUGUUUUUGUAGUGACUAUUAGUUAUUCUUGGAUUUACCUUGUAUUACACUGUAACUCUUGAUUUUACGGUGUAAUUUUCAGUGUAUUUACACUGUAAUUCUUAGUGUAUUUUGGCUAGGGUCUGUUAGCUGGUUUUUACCCUUGUAAUCUGCAUUUGACUAGGGACUAUUAUGUGGAUUAUUUUUGUAUUAUCUUUAGUGGAUCUUAUAGUGUAAUUCUUAUUGGAUUUACAGUGUAACUCUCAGUGGGCUUACACUGUAAUUUUUCAGUUGAUUCUACCCUUAGUGAAUUUGACUAAGACUGUUAGUUGGUUUUUACCCUUGUACUCUGCAAUUGAGUAGGGUCUAUUAUGUGAAUUUUUAGGUCUGAACAUUUUCAGGUAGCCAAUCUCUAUCUUGUUUGUAAUUUACUUUCAUGCAUUUGGUUGUUUCUUUAUUUUAUUUUUUUUACCGUGAUGUCAUUUUGGUUUUGCUGUGUAGGUUGCAAGUCUCUUGCUCUUGACUCUACAAAGAAAGCAUCAAAUGAUUCGUCAGUUGGUAAAUCUGCUGGUAAUAUUUUGUCAAACGAGGGUACAAAGGAUGGUCCAAAUUUGGUUUCUUGUGUGUUCCAUGUAGUAUCAGUGCUUAAUUUUUUUCUUUAGUUUCAGUGCGAUCUUCAUAGUAAUUACAUUUAAAAGAUCAUAGUAAUUCUAAGUUCAAGCGACAGUAAUUUGCCCUUUUAUAAAGUUCCAAAGUUUCAAAUAUUCAAUCAUAGUUUCAUUUUGGUUUCUGAGCAGGAACAUAUUGGUUUCUCUAUAUAAUACACUGUAUUUAACACUGUAGUUCCAGUGGUCCAGCACUGGAACUACAGUUUGCUUACACUGUAAUUCCAGUGGUCUAGCGAUGUAUUUCAAACUGUAAUUACAAAGGAUUUUUCACCGUGGUCCACUACUGUAAUUUCUAUUGCUAUCCACUGAAAUUUUAGUGGUCUAGUACUGUAAUUACAGUUUGUCUGCCACUGUAAAUUCCUUAUCUGCCAGUGUAAUUUAGUUUCACAUGUUAUUUUUCUGUUCCUCUGUAACCAUAGUGUAAAAACACUUGUUAGAUUUUGAUUUUGUGUAGGAUUUACUCAUUUGUAUAUGUUCUUAUUGCUUUUUCUGGUGAUCUCUGGAUUUUGAGUUUAUAACUAGAGUGCUAUGUGGAUUCUGAUCUGCUCUUUCGCUUUGGUAGCAACCUGUUGCUACUCAAAGUAGAACAAUAUUUUUUGCAUUAGCUAAUGAAAGUUUUUGGAGAAUUUCUUUCCCUGCUGUUUUAUAUGUAAAUUUGACAAUGAUAGUACCUUGAACAACUGCUUAUUUUUGCUUAUUUUUUGUGUUCUUUGUAACUUUUCAGGCAUGAUUGUGGUUUUCUCCAAUGUAGACAUUCGAAAUCUUAGGAUCAAAUAUGUGAAUGACAUGUUUUUCAGCCCCUUGAACAGCUGCGACAAAUCUUUUGUCACUGCUUUCUUUGUAUGUUCUUAUUUUCCUUGUCCUCUAUUUCAUUUUCUUUUUCUCCUUAUUAGCUUUUACUUUCUUUACCUAUUUUGGUCUCUUUGAGUUUUUUUGUGUAGGGAGGCAAUGCCAAGUGAGGUUCAGCAUGUGCACAGUCCUAGCUCAGUUGGUGGAUGAGUUCUCUUUUUGAGUAGCAUGUAACAUAGAACCACUAGUGCAAAUCAUUUGGAUCAUUGGUGGAUUUACAAGGUCUUUUUAGUGGAUUUAAAGUGGCAUCUUUAAUGCAUCUUGCACUGUAAUUCUUAGUGGUUAAUCUUAGCAGUUUUUUCAGUGCAAACCAUUUGGAUUGUUGGUAGAUUUACAGUGUCAUUUUAGUGGAUUUUACAGUGUCAUUUUAAUGCAUCUUACACUGUAAUUCUUAGCGGGCAUGAUAAAAAUUAUUGUCGAUUUUAGUGGAUUUUACACCAAAUUUCUUGGUGGUAAUAUUAUUGUAAUUAUACUUCUUUGUCAAUGUAAAUUUUAGGUGACAUCAUCUUGGUCCUUUCCUCAUCCCUUUGUUUCUUUAGCUUAGCGUACAUGGAAAAACUUUGGCUGUAUCGAUGUAUCGUUGUGGUUUUUUGAUCUCCACUUUUUAGCUGCUCUUCUGUCCCGGUUGAAGAGGUUGGGGUGUAGACCCGUUAGUCUGUUUAAAAGCGGGACAGAAAAGCAAACAAAGACACGGG